GCUCCAGUGGCCUAGUGGUUAGAGCGUCCGCUUCAAAUGCGGUAGGUCGCGGGUUAGCACCCCAGCCGAGUCA